rnacentral:lncRNA from 1 species
UGGGGAUUGUGUCCCCAGAAUGUGGCAUCCUCAGAGGCCCAGUGCUGCUCACACCCUGCCCCUGUCUCAGCCUUCAGGGCACCCCAAGUUCGCUGUGCUCUAAGAAACGGGGGCAACUCUCCCGACUCAGAGCCUGACCACAGAGCAGAGGGAAAUCUUCCCAGCUUCCUCCUCCAGAAAACCAGCACACAGACCCUCUUCUCCUUAAGGAUUUUACUGCUACUUACUAAAAAGAAGUAGAAAAGACCACAAAAAGCAACACAUCUAGGAGUGUUAAAAACGAAUAAUCAUCUUUGAGUGUCACCUUUCAAAGGGACACAGAGUCAAGUGCCUUGGGGGCCAGGCAGGUGGUGUAUAUGAGUGCGAGUGAAGUAAAACCAACCCUAAUUUCCAGAGCGGGAGAAAACCCAUGUGGACCGAGACCAUCAGAAGCACACCUGUCCUUGCAAUGAAACCUAAUUGCCACAUCUUCUGAUAUUUUUUCAAGAGAAGUCAGAAAUUCACAGAUUACAAUAUGAAAUCUCUAAAUCUUUUAAUUGACAAAAAGAUUAACAAUUAAUUGACAAAAGUAUAAAAUUAAAACAAUCAAUCAAUACCUCUCUGGGACUUCAGUUAUACAAAUCAAAUUAAACACAUUUUACACUCUGCCUCGCAACAUCUCAGCAAUAUCAAAACUGAGUUCAGGCAAGGUGUGGUGGCUCAAGCCUGUAAUCUUAGCACUUUGGGAGGCCAAGGCAGGUGGAUCAUUUGAGGUCAGGUGUUUGAGACCAGCCUGGCCAACAUGGUGAAACUCCAUCUCUACUAAAAAUACAAAAGUCAUCUGGGCAUGG